rnacentral:rRNA from 1 species
GAGGCAGCAGUGGGGAAUAUUGCACAAUGGGGGAAACCCUGAUGCAGCGACGCCGCGUGAGUGAAGAAGUACUUCGGUAUGUAAAGCUCUAUCAGCAGGGAAGAAGAUGACGGUACCUGAGUAAGAAGCCCCGGCUAACUACGUGCCAGCAGCCGCGGUAAUACGUAGGGGGCAAGCGUUAUCCGGAUUUACUGGGUGUAAAGGGAGCGCAGACGGUUGCGCAAGUCUGAAGUGAAAUCCCGAGGCUUAACCACGGGACUGCUUUGGAAACUGUGCGACUUGAGUAUCGGAGGGGCAGGCGGAAUUCCUAGUGUAGCGGUGAAAUGCGCAGAUAUUAGGAAGAACACCGGUGGCGAAGGCGGCCUGCUGGACGAAAACUGACGUUGAGGCUCGAAGGCGUGGGGAGCAAACAGGAUUAGAUACCCUGGUAGUCCACGCGGUAAACGAUGAAUACUAGGUGUUGGUGCCCAAAGGGCAUCGGUGCCGUCGCAAACGCAAUAAGUAUUCCACCUGGGGA